UGGGGAAUAUUGCACAAUGGGCGCAAGCCUGAUGCAGCCAUGCCGCGUGUAUGAAGAAGGCCUUUGGGUUGUAAAGUACUUUCAGCGGGGAGGAAGGUGUUGUGGUUAAUAACCGCAGCAAUUGACGUUACCCGCAGAAGAAGCACCGGCUAACUCCGUGCCAGCAGCCGCGGUAAUACGGAGGGUGCAAGCGUUAAUCGGAAUUACUGGGCGUAAAGCGCACGCAGGCGGUCUGUCAAGUCGGAUGUGAAAUCCCCGGGCUCAACCUGGGAACUGCAUUCGAAACUGGCAGGCUAGAGUCUUGUAGAGGGGGGUAGAAUUCCAGGUGUAGCGGUGAAAUGCGUAGAGAUCUGGAGGAAUACCGGUGGCGAAGGCGGCCCCCUGGACAAAGACUGACGCUCAGGUGCGAAAGCGUGGGGAGCAAACA
rnacentral:rRNA from 1 species